GAGCCCAAACCAGGAAGCUUGCUUCCUGGGGUUGUAGGACUGAACAUUUGAGUUACCAAAGAACUUGAUAGCUGAAGAAUCUGGGAAGAUUCGCCAGAGAGGGUGAUAGCCCCGUAAGUUAAAUCAAAUUCUCUCAGUUCAGGAUCCUGAGUACGGCGGAGCACGUGAAAUUCCGUCGGAAUCCGGGAGGACCAUCUCCCAAGGCUAAAUACUACCUAGUGACCGAUAGUGAACCAGUACCGUGAGGGAAAGGUG
rnacentral:rRNA from 1 species